rnacentral:lncRNA from 1 species
AUCUCUUUUUUUAAUACAGUGGGGAUUUUUGAUCUCCAUAUUGAGAUCCUUUCAGCUUCAGAAAAUUGAAAGAAGCAAAGAAAACAAAGGAAGGGAGGAAGGGUGGGAUGGGAAGAAGGACCCGGUUUAAGGGCAUGUCUUCAAGUUUAUCCUACUCCGCUUGGAUUUAACUUUUUGAUCAUUUCUGUCUUCACUAUGAGUAGUUAGCCGUUCAUCUCCCUAUGGUUGAGUGUUAGCUUCCUUGAAAGAUUUUCUUGUCUCGCUCGGCUCCAUUUUUUUCAUAUCAGUUCGUGGUGUAGUUUUUUUCCAAAAUGGCAUUCAAAGAGUGUCUUAGGGUCCAACUUCCUGUACUUUACCAAACAUUCUAUAUAUUCUCUCCACCCUCAACUUAUACAACAAAUCCUUUUCAGGGCGGUGUUAUUUUUCCUUUGUUCUACAGUAUCCCCAACAAUCCCCUUGAUAUUUGUUUUUUUUAUAAAAUUUCUUGAGUGAUGCCUCAUGGAAGUGCUAAUCUGUAACAGGUGUUCUUCCAUUCAAGUACUGAUGGACCAAGGUGAGAUCAUGGCAUAAUCCUUCCGUUUGGUUCUGUGACAUUUUAAACCAGUGACUCUCUGAAAUAUAGGAGUCACCUUUGUUAUAUAUAUUGCUGCCAGGGCUUUCCCAUCUGUGCCCCAGGACAGCCUUUUCCCUGUAGGGGUCAUGCCCCUCAGUUUUUAGGGGUUAGGGGGCCUUGCCUGCCCUCACUGAUUGCUUUCAUUUACUUAUUGUAUCUCAGAGCAGAUACUGGUGGGCAAGAACAAGAUGUAGGAGAACCAACUGCCCUUUCAAGAACAAGUGCUUAAAUGACUAUUACUUCUAUGAUUGGUAUAAACUCUACGUCUCUGAGCCAGGUAGAGACUGUGUUGACACCGUGAGUGUCUAUGUGUGUAUUGGGUGAAGUCGAAAAUAAAUGUUUAUUUUAAAUAUUUCCAUACAUGCAAAACAUAGUUCUGCAAUCUAUUGCUUUUCUUCCUCUCCACUCUUAAUUUAGUAUCUGUUAAUCCUAACAUAAAAUUAUUCUGAUAGAAAAUUAACUCAGAAUGUAAGCCCCCUGAGGACAGGGACAAUUUACUUAGCUCACCAGUGAAUCAAGUGGCCAAGCCCAUAUAAAAUGUUGACUGAAUGAAUGAUUAAAUGUUGGGAUGAAACGGACCUGUAUAUUUUUUAAUAUCCUAGACAAUAAUAUCUUUCUAUUUAUUCUAUUUAAUGGGGUUUAUUGAUUGAUUCAUUCAUUUAUUCAUUCAUUCAUUUAUUUUUAAGGCUGCACCUGCGGCAUAUGGAAGUUCCUGGGCUAGGGGUUAAAUUGGAGCUACAGCUGAAGUUUAUGCCACAGCCACGGCAACACCGGAUCCAACAUGUGUAUGCGACCUACACCACAGUUUGUGACAACACUGGAUCCUUAAUCCACUGAGUGAGGCCAAGGAUUGAACCUGCAUCCUCACUGAGAAUAUGUAAGAUUCUUAACCCACUGAGCCCUAAUGGGAACUCCUGUUUGGGCUUACAAAUAGGUUUCUCAAAUUUUUAAAUUAGAAAGAUAUUCUUACCAUCAUCCAGCCUAUGGUAAUGAUUUUAAUGGAAAUUUUCAGUUACUCCUCUUUAUAAAUCUCAAUAUUUCAAUUUCUUACAUGUGAUGAUAAAAGUGUUGAAGUUAACAGAAUUAGCUCACGUGAUAUCAGGAGGUUUGGAACAUGCAUUAAAAAGUAGCAUGAUUAUUACAGUCUGAAAAAAAAACACCUUUUUUUAUCAAAGUCAUUAAAGGACAUUUGGAGAACAAGGGAAGAAAAUAUUCCCAUAAUCCCAGGACUAAAACGCAGUCACUAGUCACAUCUCAAUA